AUUCUUGUAGUUAAAUUAUAACGAUGGUUUUUCAAGCCAUUAGUCUAGGUUAGAAUCUUGGCAGGAAUA
rnacentral:tRNA from 1 species